AUUAUGGUAUAAAAAUUCGAUUCAUAGUUUUUUAAAACAUUUUUAAAUUAAGUUAAGGUGAUUAAAAAUUAUUUAAUUAAUACCCUAGAUUAAGUACUGCAAAGGAAUAUUAAUAAAUUAAGUAUAAGAAAAGAUAAAUACUUGUACCUUUUGCAUCAUGGUUUAACUAGAUAUAUAUUUUGUACCUAAAUUUCUCGAAAUCUAAUGAGCUAUUUUUAUUCUUUAUAUUAGAAAAUCGGGAUUAAUUGUAGCAGAAAUUUUUCUAGAAGUAAAAAUAGAAAUGAAAUUUUAUUCGUAUUAGAUGAUAGCUAGUUCUUUUAUUAAGGCAUAAAAGUGCCGCAGAUUAAUUUUUAGUUAUGAAAAAGCAUAGACUAAACUUUUAUCUGAUCAAAUUUUUGAGGAUAAGCUCGAAAAUAAUAGAUUAUAUUUACAUAUUAUUUAAAUAAAAAUUUAAGCUUAGAAAUAGCUAUAAUUUUGAUUUUGUUACAAUUUCAUUAAAUUGACCAAAAAAUAAUUAAUUUGUUAUAUAAAAUAAAAGAAAGCUUUUAAACCAGAUUAAAGCUGAACUUAUGUUAAAAUGAGUAUUAAUUAAUAUAUUAAUUUCUAAAAAUAUAUAUUUUAGAAUCAAUUUUUAUUUAUAAUUUUUUAAAUCGUAAAAAGGAAUUCAGCAAAUACGUAUUCUGCCUGUUUAGCAAAAACAUGGCUCCUUGUAAUUUAAAUAAAUAAGGAGUCGGACCUGCCCGGUGAAAAUUUUUUAACGGCCGCGGUACUCUGACCGUGCAAAGGUAGCAUAAUCAUUUGCCUUAUAAUUGAAGGCUAGUAUGAAUGGUUUGACAAGAAUACAGCUGUCUCUUUAUGACUGAAUAGAAUUUUAUAUAUAAGUGAAGAAGCUUAUAUUUAAUUAAAAGACAAGAAGACCCUAUCGAGCUUUAAAUAAGUUAAAAGAUUAAUUGAUUAAUAGUACUAAAAAAUUAACUUUUAAAAAUUUUAGUUGGGGCGACUGAGGAACAAAAAAAGCUUCCUUUAAAAAAUGAAUCUUACAAGUAUUGAUCCAAAACAUUUUGAUUAAAGAAAUUAGUUACCGUAGGGAUAACAGCAUUAUCUUUUUUAAGAGUUCUUAUCGAAAAAAGGGUUUGUGACCUCGAUGUUGGACCAGAAUAUCCUGAAGAUGCAGCAGUCUUUAAGGGUUGGUCUGUUCGACCAUUAAAAUUCUACGUGAUCUGAGUUCAGACCGGCGUGAGCCAGGUCAGUUUCUAUCUUUAAUUUUUUAAAUAAACUUAGUACGAAAGGACCAGCUUAU
rnacentral:rRNA from 1 species